AGACCAGGAGCCGGAGGGUCUCCAGCAUCACAUCACAGUGCAGGCUCCAGCUGCCCCCACGCCUUGAGGGCGAAGUCCGCGACCACAUCCCCAAACGUAACUUGCUCCUGAAACAUCACAGGUAUCCUCAGGCAGGCCCAGCCUGGCUCCGGGUGCUGCUGGGAGCAUCUGGCGGGCCCUGGACCAACACUUCGUCACACUGACUCUCAUCGGCAUCGUUGUGGGAGGCCCAUGCUGUGGGAGGCCGCGUGAGCUCAUUCUACUGAGGCUCCGAGAGCUUGCGUGUAUUUCCCGAAGUUACAAAGCUGCACAGGACCCACGAGGCCAAGAGUGUCAACGGAAAGCAGAGCGCGGGGGAUCCCUGGGCUGGAAGCCGCCCGCAGCUCCACUGGAAUGUCCCCUGGCGUCUGUGUCACCGAGCUGCACGCACACAUCUGCGCUGCGCGGAAACGACGCCUGAGCACAGAGGGGAGCUGGGAGAGAGGAGAGCCAGCGGGGAGUGCUGGGCACAAGGGUGACGAAACGCGUGGGAGGCCCCGGGGGCAGGGCUUCCGGAGGUGGUUUCCUCGCCUUUAAUUUUGGACAUUUGACUAUCGGAGUAAAGCACAAUCCUCAAAGAGAAAGGCCGAGCGUGGGGCGGUUCCUGGGGCACUACCCAUC